CAGUAAAUUUAUUUAUACCCGUUACCAAGACAGCACCGACAUAAGUUUCUCUUUAUAUUCUUGUGUUUUUCCGGGAUAGGGUCGAUUCCUGAAAAGUAGAGUGAAAAGGGGGAUUCACCGGUUUACGUGGGUUCAAAAAGAAAGAAAUCGCGUCGAGGUGCAAACGUGGGGUGGUUUGCUUGAGAAAUCAUCUAGAAUCUAUAUCCCGCAUAAAUCAAUCCGUUCAUUAAGGUUGCCGAGACUGUCAGCCAAUAUGCAAGCCGAGACGCCGCCUUUUGAUGCAGUUUUAGUGGAUCAACAGAAUAUUAUCAACAAUAAUAAUAAUGAACUAAAAGAAGAUUCAAAUCCAGUACCGGUUCACACUGCAACUUUCGAAGAGCAGAUAAUAGAUCAACCAAUACCAUCACAUACGAAUACGAACAGAUACGAAUCCUGCUAUGAUCUUACCGACGAUCCUAUCAUAGAGGUAGAUGAUCAAGUUCAGCUUAUAGAUCAAGAAGGGACUAACUCAAAGGGAUUUUGUUUCUUUGACUGUGACAUUUCGUUUCAGGCUUUGCUUGCUUGUAUUUUCCUAAUAUUGCUGGCGGCACCAUUAGUUUAUAUAGUAAUUGUUCUUUUUGUUUAUCAUAAAAUCUGAGUCAUAUUUUUUUGGUAUAUCAUAUUUAUAUGUAACGCACUUAGAGACUCUAAUAUGACUUUGUAAAGCUUUUAGAGUUUUCGCUAAUCUUUUUAAUUUAAUUACAGAGAUCAAUUAGGUCCUUACUUAGGUAUUCUACCGAGUGGUCUAAGAUAAGGUACAAUUUUUGUUUUUUUUGAAAAGUCAGUGUUUUAUAAAAUUAAAAUUGCAGGGCUAUUUUAAAAUAAGUUGAUGAUUGGAUCUGAAAGAGAAAUAUCGAAUUUAAAAAAGUUAAAUUCGAUAAAAGAGCUAUUUAUUCCGAUAUAUUUUCUCAAAUAUCGCUAAACAAAAAUAUAAAAAAUUAAAAUAUACCGAGUGUCCUAUAAGAUUUCGAGUCAAAGAUGACUCGAAUAUUUUUUUAAAAACAAGAAAUUUACAUAGCCUAGGCCCUAUUUUCUUGGACCACCUGGUAUACCAUAUAAUUAAAAGCUAAUUAUUUUGCAAUCUCCGAAUGAUUUUUUUUUUAAUAUUUUAAUAAUCGUCUUGGAAUUAUUAUUUUUUUAACUUUAAAUGGUUUUUGCAUGGUUUUGCUUAACUUUAAAAAGUUUUUAAAAAAGAUUUGACUUUUUUGUAUAGGUAACAGAAGGUGUGUAACUCUCAAAAGAAGACUGUUUUUUUAUUUUAUAUAAACUUACAUAAGACAUUUCUAGAUGUACCUUAUAUGCCUAUAUUCUAAGUGUUUAAUAAAUUCGUAGGUUAAU